UGUUACAGAUUGGCUCGGCAGGAGAUGAGCUGGGAAAGGAGGUGGCGAAGGGCCCAGAUUCCUUGUGGAUGCACAUGAUCGACGUCUCUCUAGCGUCAGAGCCACAGCCUUAUCUUGUUCUUUGUGUAUGGUUCACAAAGAACCGAGGACCACUGCAAGCCCAUAACUGAUAGAAGACAUUUGCGCUGCAUGAUGUGCUACAGUUCCACGGCUUUCAUCAAGUAAGAAUGUUAUGCACGGAUUCAUCUCCUCAGGUAUUACAUACGUACAUGGGAUCACCAUCUGCUGCGGUUCUCAGUUGACUUGUUAGUUUGAAGGAGGCAUUGGGACUCGCAGGUUUCUCCAUUUUCGCCACUAUCAAGCUGCAUCUUCUUGAUAUUUGCUCUUGCAGCUCUUUGCUGGUGGUUGCCAGCAGUCAAGAAGGUUGUGCUUUAUAUGCCAGCGACAUGGCCGGUUGCCAGUUUCCAUCCACAGAGUAAUGUUUCUUGGACGAUUCGAUGGUAGAAUUUGCAGUCAAAGCGUGCAGUUGGAUGCUGAAUCGCAUGGUUGGCAGUAAUCCACCAUCUGACGUGAGAACAUAUCCGAGUUUAAAUGCGAGAGGGUAGAAGUUACUUUCCAUCUCCAAAGAUCAUACGGACGAGGGAAUCGUCUUAGAUUGAAAGGAAAUUGCGUGGGAAGUGACACGAUGACGAUGGAUUAUCUGGAAGAAUGGCAAGGCAGGUCAACUCAUCUUUACCCUGCAUCUCGACUGCUGCCCGUACCGGCAUGGAAGAAGGAUGCCGACUCUGGUGAUCGAUGUACACGGCCAUUGAUUUACCUUCUGCUGCUGCUCGAAUGCUUUUGCUCAGGGGAUGCAUGGAUUCCCAAUGGAACAUGUCAGAAUCAGACAUCUGGAGGAUUUCAGACGGAUACAUUUUUUGGAUUGAAGAUUAUGAGCGGUUGCAAAGCUUUAAGCUUUCUCCAUAGACAAACGGAUAAAAAAAGAAAUCGCGGCGGAGUCUGAUGGACUCGAGCAAAGGAGGAGAAGAGGAAUAGUAGAUGCCAUGGAAGAUGACAAGAUUCGUGCAAGGAAGACGUACCCUAAGGAAUUGAUCUGCUCCGAGGCAGUAGCCAGCCAGCCAUACCGUACCGGAAGGGGGCUGCGGAAUUCCGACCUCAUGGGACGUUUUAAAUCUUUAGGUUUAUUCUGAACUUAGUCAACGGUAAUUUCCUUUUUAUGUUUUAGAAUCUGACUGACCUCAUGUUAAGUUUUCUGUAAUGCGAAUGUCUUCUUUAGA